GGUAUUGGCUAAAUAAGAGCUGUUUUUUUUCGUAAAUUUUCUAGUUGAACUGAAGGCUUUAAGGCACUGUUUCGUUGUUUUCAGUAUUUCCUUUUACACAUUAAUUCCACGAUUUCCAAAAAUGGGGUAAUUUAGGAUGGGCCUUGUGCUUGUUUUUGGUUAUGUUUGUUCUGCAGCAGAUAUCAUGAAUUCAAACAAGGAUGAAGCAGCAGGCGCGCUGAAUAAGAUAAAUCUGUAGAUUUAAUUCCUCGAUGCAGUAGAUGAAAAUCACAUGCGGACCUAAUUCUGCUACCUAAAAUGCAGGAGUAGUUGCUCUAGGGGUUGAUAACAUGUUGCAGGUCUGUUUUUUGCCUCAUCCCAAAAGUUGCUUUUUGUGAAGCCCCUAUGCUAAUCAUCGCUGAUAGUUUUUGUUUACACUGUAUAAUGUUUUGCAAGGGCCCAAGAAUGCUGAGAUCCAAUGUAGGAGCCCCAGGGGCACAGGGCAAGAAGUGACCCCGCUGCUUUCAUAUUUUUUGAGCAUGCAAUGGGAUUUUCAGUAUACUCGCUCACACUACGCCAUAUAGUUGCCUCGUUGUAGUAUAGUUUAUUAUGUAUAUGUUCCGAUCUACCUAUUUAGUCGCCUUUUUUCUUAACAUUAUACUCGACCACACCUGGGCUUGAAGUUGCUUUUUAACGUAGCUAAUGUAGUUUGCUUUUGAUUAUUAAUCGCUCACACACCGUCUUAUAGUUGCUUCUUUCGUUUUAAUAUAUCCGGCAGUAAGCGAAUAUAGGUGCAUGCCUCAGCAGAAUAUAGUUUUUUUAAUACAACUUUGUGUUUUAACCUUUUAGGUAACUUCUUAGGACCUUUUCUUACUUAGUUGCUUAUACAUAUGAUUAGCUUUUUCUUUGUCGCUUUUUCCUUCUCAAUAUACUUCCUCUCACACACACACACCUUGAAGUUGCUUUUUAACUUAGGUAUUGUAGUUGCUUUUAAUUAUUUAGUUGUUCAUGCAACGCCUUGUAAUUGCUUCUUUUCAAUAUAGGCGGCAGCAAGCAAUAUGAUUACACUUUUUGCAUCUCCUACUAGUACACUUUUUUGCUUUAUCAGAUAGUUGCUUUUUCAACCCGUCAACUAUGGACCAGAAAUAGAAUUACGUAGUCACUUUUCUAAAGCAAUUCUUGCAUCAUUGAGCAUUCAAUUUUUGCUUUUUCAUUUUUUUUUCUAUUGUAAUUAGUUGCUUGUUCAACCACUCACCUACUUUUUGAGUAAAAGUUGCAUCUCUGUCAAAAUUUUGAAUUAGAAGUUGCUGCAAUAGUUACACUUACUUUGCUUUUAUCAUAUAAUUGCUUUUCUGAGCCGUCAACCAUUGGCUAUAGAAUGAACCAGAGUCAAAAUCUGAAGCAAUUUUCGCAUCCUUGUGCAUUCAGCUUUUUGCUUCACUCACUAUUUUCUGUGAUAAUUAGUUGCUUUUUUCAACCACUCAACUAUUUUUUAGUAAAGUUGCAUCUACAUAAAAAAUUUGAAUUAGAAGUUGCUACAGUAGUUACACAUACUUUGCUUUUAUCAUAUAGUUGCUUUUCUGAGCCGUCAACCAUUCGCUACAAAAUGUAUUUUUAGAGACUCAAAAUUUGAAGCAAUUUUCACAUUAUUGAGCAUUCAUCUUUUCUUUUUUUUCUAUGAUAAUUAGUUGCUUUUGUUUUUCAAUAGGAGAUUAUUUGAGUAAAAAUUUACAUUGUCCAGUUAUUUGGACAGGCUAAGGGCUUAUUCAGUUUUCAGGAUUAUGAAAUCAUAGGAAUAGGAAAAGUAGAGGAUUAAGAUGUCAUGGGCACUUCAAUCCUUAGGAAUUUUCCAUGAGGUCUCACCUAAUUGUAGAAUCCUUAGGAAUUAGGCAAUUUGGGACCAAUCCUUUGGAAUGUAGCACCUCAAUUCCUAUGAAACGAAUGCUACACAUAGGAAAAUCCUAAGGUUUGAAAUCCUAUAAAAAUUGACUCCUGCAAACUGAAUGAGCCCUAACUGAAUAAUGUAUCAGAGACUAACCAGCCUUUUCUUUUACAAUAG
rnacentral:lncRNA from 1 species